rnacentral:rRNA from 1 species
ACGGAGGGUGCAAGCGUUAAUCGGAAUUACUGGGCGUAAAGCGUGCGUAGGCGGCUGAUUAAGUUGGGUGUGAAAGCCCCGGGCUCAACCUGGGAACUGCAUCCAAAACUGAUCAGCUAGAGUGCGGAAGAGGAGUGUGGAAUUUCCUGUGUAGCGGUGAAAUGCGUAGAUAUAGGAAGGAACACCAGUGGCGAAGGCGACACUCUGGUCUGACACUGACGCUGAGGUACGAAAGCGUGGGGAGCAAACAGG